rnacentral:lncRNA from 13 species
AUGAGAGGCUAUGGGGCUAUAUAUUUCUGUGACAUAACUAUCUCCAAACUUAGUGGCUUAAAACAAACAUCUGAUUUUGCUCACAAUUUGGAGCUCAGAAAUAUGGGAAAAUUCUUCUGGACAUGUAUCUCUGAUGCAGGUUGUAUUAGUGGGGUAGCUGAAGCUGCAAAACGAGGUGACUUCAUUCACUGUCUGUUUCCUUCGUGCAAUCUCUUUCUUCAUAUGGCAUCUCCCGUUCUAGGGCAUCUUCACAUGUGUGCUCUUCCCACCUGUGAACGCUGUUCCAAUAACUUCUCAAGGUUCUAAUGUGCUUCAUGAUGAUGACCACAAUGCAAGUCUUACCCAGAAUUUUCAGGAAAAUGUUAAUAACAAUUUAUUUUCUGGGCAUGUUAAAUUUACUGUUCAGGCUUUUAUUGCAUAAAUGUGCAUAAUACAUCUUUUAUUCAUGACUUCUUUUAAAUUCUUGAGAUCCAUUCCUGGAGUGUGCUAUGUUUCAAUGUUGACCCUAUCUCUGCCUUCCAUACACCACUACUACCAUGGGGAGAACAGGAGAAGGCCCAACGGGAAAAAAUGAAAACACACACACACACACACACACAAACCUGUGCUAUUUAUGUAACAACGUCCAUCCCUCAUUCAGCAUGGCAUAUGACCAACUGAAAGAACAUGAUGUUACUGAAUCAAUUGGAGGCAAAAGAAGUCAUGAUUCAGAAGGACUCAACAGCUUUUACUAAGGUGCACAUUCUGAUGAAUGCAACUUUAGAUCUCAGUCCUGCAUUUGGGAUAAUUUAAUCCCUGAAUAAAACACCACACCUUGGUGAAUGCA